CUGCCUCUCCGUCCUCCAGCUCUCCAUCACUCCAUCUGUCUAACGAUGUCUUGAGGACACGUCGAAGCAGGUGAUCAUCAUGAGGUGGGCUUUGCAGAAGUUGACUCUGGUCUCCAGUUUGUCCGUCACGGUCUCCAGAGCUUGCAAAUACUCCAGUGAGUCGACUUCGUAGGCCUGCUGUAGCUCAACUGAACAUGGACAGACAGGCAGAGAUAUGAAGUCGCUCGACGUCAUCUAUCUCGUACACCUUGAUCUCGAAGGUUUCUGUCGUUGCCGUCGCGCCCCGGAGGUUUGAGGGAGUUGGGGGCCCCAGUGGGCCAUCUACCCAGCAUGCACCUGGGCUGGAGGAGGAGGAAGAAGAGGAAGUGAUGGUCUGUUUGGAGGAGCGGUGAGAAGGUGAGGAGGAGGAAGAGUCCAAGGUCAGUGCUGGGAUCAGACGACGACGCUGGAGGCCUGAAAGAACAAAUAAGAUGAAGACAAAAACAGUGUUUCACACCACCAGAGUGUUUCCAGACAUAGAAAUACAUUUGGUGAUAAAUACUGCACCCCUUCAACUCUCUUUCAUUUAUUAAGUAUUAUCACUGCUCCAUACAUGUAUAAAACAAAUUACACAAAAUAGGUAUUUCUUACAUUUAGUGAUGCAUUGUUGUGAGUUGUGCAUUUUGUGAGUUACUAGUCUUUAUCAAAUUUAAAGGAAAACUAUCCUUCAACGGACCAAAUAGCCAUUUCAACCAUAAACACGUCCUCUACAUCAUACAAACAGCUUGAUACUCAAUUGGCUUUUACUUCUACUACUGAACUACAAAGACAUUACUAGAUCAACUAAGAAGAUAUUCUGCUCAAAUAAUUAGCAGAAUAAAGUUUCUUUAUUGCCAAAUAUAUGUCAUGCUUUUUUUCUCUUUGUAGUUUAUACCAUUAAAGGAAUAUUUUGUGA